UACAGAGGGUGCAAGCGUUAAUCGGAAUUAUUGGGCGUAAAGCGCAUGUAGGUGGUUUAAUAAGUUUGAUGUGAAAGCCCUGGGCUUAACCUGGGAAUUGCGUUGAAUACUGUUAAGCUAGAGUCGGACAGAGGGCGGUGGAAUUUCCGGUGUAGCGGUGAAAUGCGUAGAGAUCGGAAAGAACAUCGGUGGCGAAGGCGGCCGCCUGGGUCCAGACUGACACUGAGGUGCGAAAGCGUGGGGAGCAAACAGG
rnacentral:rRNA from 1 species